AUGAAUUAUAGCGCCGGAUUGCAAUCAUCUCGCUGACUCUACAUGGUGUCACUGGAUUUAUGUCGAUAUCCGCAAGUCAUGAAGGUCCAGUUUACAAAAGAACCCCUGCAGCCUUAUCUGUGUGCCACCAAAAAGUGGAAGAGGCUCUUUGUGUGGCUUUUGUCGGUAGUUAUAUCAUCAUCAAUGGUAGGAGUGCUGUUGAGUCAUAGUUUAUUCUUGCAUGCUAUGGUAUCAAGCCAAAGUGAGCACUAUGCAUCAAACUCUCAACAUGCUGGACUACCAUCAAGUCCGGUCGAGCUGUCUCGGCCGCCGCCGCCGACGGCCCUCACCAUGACGGGCCACUGUCAGCUGGAGCGGCCGGCGGCCGCCUGGCCGGCCGGCGCGCUCGGCGACUUCCCUCACAACGCCUCGGC